rnacentral:rRNA from 1 species
AACGAACGCUGGCGGCAUGCCUAACACAUGCAAGUCGAACGAAGCCUUCGGGCUUAGUGGCGCACGGGUGCGUAACGCGUGGGAAUCUGCCCUUGGGUUCGGAAUAACAGUUAGAAAUGACUGCUAAUACCGGAUGAUGUCUUCGGACCAAAGAUUUAUCGCCCAAGGAUGAGCCCGCGUAGGAUUAGGUAGUUGGUGGGGUAAUGGCCACCAAGCCGACGAUCCUUAGCUGGUCCGAGAGGAUGAUCAGCCACACUGGGACUGAGACACGGCCCAGACUCCUACGGGAGGCAGCAGUUGGGAAUAUUGGACAAUCGGCGAAAGCCUGAUCCAGCAAUGCCGCGUGAGUGAUGAAGGCCUUAGGGUUGUAAAGCUCUUUUACCAGGGAUGAUAAUGACAGUACCUGGAGAAUAAGCUCCGGCUAACUCCGUGCCAGCCGCCGCAGUAACAC